rnacentral:rRNA from 1 species
UACGUAGGGGGCAAGCGUUAUCCGGAUUUACUGGGUGUAAAGGGAGCGCAGACGGCAGUGCAAGUCUGGAGUGAAAGCCCGGGGCCCAACCCCGGGACUGCUCUGGAAACUGUACGGCUGGAGUACGGGAGGGGCAGGCGGAAUUCCUAGUGUAGCGGUGAAAUGCGUAGAUAUUAGGAGGAACACCGGUGGCGAAAGCGGCUCUCUGGCCUGUAACUGACACUGAGGCUCGAAAGCGUGGGGAGCAAGCAGG